rnacentral:rRNA from 1 species
GACGAACGCUGGCGGCGUGCUUAACACAUGCGAGUCGAACGGAAAGGCCCUGCUUUUGCUGGGUGCUCGUGUGGCGCACGGGUGAGUAACACGUGAGUAUCCUGCCCUUGACUUUGGGAUAACUUCUGGAAACUGGGGCUAAUACCGGAUAGGAGCUCCUGCUGCAUGGUGGGGGUUGGAGAGUUUCGGCGGUUGGGGAUGGACUCGCGGGUUCUCCGCUUGUUGGUGGGGUAGUGGCUUACCAAGGCUUUGACGGGUAGCCGGCCUGGGCGGGUGACCGGCCACAAUGGUACUGAGGGACGGCGCAGACUGCUACGGGAGGCAGCAGGGGGGAAUAUGGCACAGUGGGCGGAAGCGUGAGGCGGCAACGCUGCGUGCGGGAUGACGGCUUUCGAGUGGUAAACCGCUUUCGCCGGAGACGAAGCGGGAUUGACGGUAAUGGGUAAAGAAGCACCGGCUAACUACGUG